rnacentral:rRNA from 1 species
AAAUCGCAUAGGCUAAUACCCUGUGUGGAUGACGGUACCGGAAUAAGAAGCACCGGCUAACUACGUGCCAGCAGCCGCGGUAAUACGUAGGGUGCGAGCGUUAAUCGGAAUUACUGGGCGUAAAGCGUGCGCAGGCGGUUUAGUAAGACAGGCGUGAAAUCCCCGGGCUCAACCUGGGAACUGCGCUUGUGACUGCUAAGCUAGAGUACGGCAGAGGGGGGUGGAAUUCCACGUGUAGCAGUGAAGUGCGUAGAGAUGUGGAGGAACACCGAUGGCGAAGGCAGCCCCCUGGGCCGAUACUGACGCUCAUGCACGAAAGCGUGGGUAGCAAACAGGAUUAGAUACCCUGGUAGUCCACGCCCUAAACGAUGUCAACUAGGUGUUGGGAGGGUAAAACCUUUUAGUACCGGAGCUAACGCGUGAAGUUGACCGCCUGGGGAGUACGGCCGCAAGGUUAAAACUCAAAGGAAUUGACGGGGACCCGCACAAGCGGUGGAUGAUGUGGAUUAAUUCGAUGCAACGCGAAAAACCUUACCUACCCUUGACAUGUCCAGAAGCUCUUAGAGAUUUGAGUGUGCCCGAAAGGGAGCUGGAACACAGGUGCUGCAUGGCUGUCGUCAGCUCGUGUCGUGAGAUGUUGGGUUAAGUCCCGCAACGAGCGCAACCCUUGUCGUUAAUUGCCAUCAUUUAGUUGGGCACUUUAACGAGACUGCCGGUGACAAACCGGAGGAAGGUGGGGAUGACGUCAAGUCCUCAUGGCCCUUAUGGGUAGGGCUUCACACGUCAUACAAUGGUCGGUACAGAGGGUUGCCAAGCCGCGAGGUGGAGCCAAUCCCAGAAAGCCGAUCGUAGUCCGGAUUGCAGGCUGCAACUCGCCUGCAUGAAGUCGGAAUCGCUAGUAAUCGCGGAUCAGCAUGUCGCGGUGAAUACGUUCCCGGGUCUUGUACACACCGCCCGUCACACCAUGGGAGCGGGUUCCGCCAGAAGUAGGUAGCCUAACCGCAAGGGGGGCGCUUACCACGGCGGGGUUCGUGACUGGGGUGAAGUCGU